CGUGGUGACAUUUAUGUUUAAAGUUAUUAAUAAAAGAAGAUAACCUAAUUCGCUAGGUUCACACAUCUAUCUGAGGAGUAAACUUAGGGAUUUCUUAGGCUUUAUCCACCCGGUAUCAGUACACAAAUGUUGAUUUAUCAGUUGGCAAUGCCAGUCUGGAUAGUGAUAUUACAUUUGACAAACACGUACUUGGAUUUUAGGUCAAUUUUUAGCCGUUUGAAAAUUGCUAAAAAGAAAUGACAAAUGUUAUAGUAAAGCACGUGUUCGUCAUAAUUGUGAUCUUGGCCAGUUUACUUUACCAACAUGCACGAGCUAAUGAGGGGCAGUUUUAUGGCGGAUCAAUGAGCUACAAAAUGGAGAAGCAAUCCGACGGCAUAAAUCUGGUGACCAUCGAGCUGAUUACAGGGUGGGUACUAGGGACAGGUCCCUGUGGCCCAGGUUGUAACCACACAGACAUAGGUAGAUCUACACGCUCUACAAGACCAUUAAUGACGAGAAUCAAUUCAGACUAUCUAGGAAUCUACACGUCUGACUUUUUAAACAAGACCGCCACUAAAACGGAAACUCAUGACAUGAAUGCGUUAGUACUCUCGACAUACAAUGAAACAGUAAUAGCCAUUAGCGAGCCCGAGAAAUGGGAACAGGAACUUCUUCAUUUUAGCUUCUUAAUGCCACCUGGAAUAGAAAAAUUAGA